ensembl:snRNA U6 U6 spliceosomal RNA
GUGCUCACUACGGCAGCACACAUACUAAAAUUGGAAUGAUACAGAAAUCAGCAUGGCCCCUGUGCAAUGAAGACACACGAAUCCAUGAAGCAUUCCAUAUGUAU